UACGGGGGGAGCAAACGUUGUUCGGAAUCACUGGGCGUAAAGGGCGUGUAGGCGGCUGGAUAAGUGGGAUGUUAAAUCCCCCGGCUCAACCGGGGACCUGCAUCUCAUACUGUUCAGCUCGAGCACAUCAGAGGAGACUGGAAUUCCCGGUGUAGCGGUGAAAUGCGCAGAUAUCAGGAAGAACACCAAUGGCGAAGGCAGCUCUCUGGGACGGUACUGACGCUGAGACGCGAAAGCGUGGGGAGCGAACAGG
rnacentral:rRNA from 1 species